GAUGAAGAACGUAGCGAAAUGCGAUAAGUAAUGUGAAUUGCAGAAUUCAGUGAAUCAUCGAAUCUUUGAACGCACCUUGCGCCCUUUGGCUAUUCCGAAGGGCAUGCCUGUUUGAGUAUCGUGAACACCUCAACUCUCAUGGUUUGCCAUGAUGAGCUUGGACUUUGGGGGUUUUGCUGGCCUUUGGUCGGCUCCUCUCAAACGGAUCAGCUUUCCAGUGUUUGGUGGCGUCACGGGUGUGAUAACUAUCUACGCCUGUGGUUUUUCCACCAGGUAGCCUUCAGCAGUGGAGGUUCGCUGGAGCUCAUAGAUGUCUCUCCUCAGUGAGGACAGCCCUUUGAAUGUUUGAUCUCAAAUCAGGUAGGACUACCCGCUGAACUUAAGCAUAUCAAUAAGCGGAGGA
rnacentral:misc_RNA from 1 species